UACGUAGGGGGCAAGCGUUGUCCGGAUUUAUUGGGCGUAAAGAGCGUGUAGGCGGCCAUACAGGUCAGCUGUGAAAACUCGAGGCUCAACCUCGAGACGUCGGUUGAAACCGUAUGGCUAGAGUCCGGAAGAGGAGAGUGGAGUUCCCGGUGUAGCGGUGAAAUGCGCAGAUAUCGGGAAGAACACCCGUGGCGAAGGCGGCUCUCUGGGACGGUACUGACGCUGAGACGCGAAAGCGUGGGGAGCAAACAGG
rnacentral:rRNA from 1 species